GAUCGUCGACGACAUGUUCGACAAGGUCGAGCUGAAGCUCCGGGUCUACGGCUCCCCGUCGGUGGUGAAAUACCCCCGCUGCAGCCUCAAGCGGCAAUCGGCGUACGCGGACGCCGAGGACAGGAGGACAACUCGUUGAUUAUGGCACUGUCGAGCAUCUGGAUGCUGCUGCUCCUGUUUGGUACCUCCGCUUUGUUGCUCCCAACCUUCCACACUCUGAGCCGGGCGUUUGGGG